UACGGAAGGGGGCCAGCGGUUGUUCGGAAUCAUUUGGGCGUAAAGGGCGCGUAGGCGGCUUGGUAAGUCCGUUGUGAAAUCCCUCGGGCUCAACCGAGGAACUGCGACGGAUACUGCUUGGCUUGAGUCCCGGAGAGGGUAGCGGAAUUCCCAGUGUAGCGGUGAAAUGCGUAGAUAUUGGGAGGAACAUCGGUGGCGAAGGCGGCUACCUGGACGGGUACUGACGCUGAUGCGCGAAAGCUAGGGGAGCAAACAGG
rnacentral:rRNA from 1 species